rnacentral:rRNA from 1 species
UACGGAGGGGGCGAGCGUUAUUCGGAAUCAUUGGGCGUAAAGGGUGCGUAGGUGGCGCCGUAAGUCAGGUGUGAAAUUUCGGAGCUCAACUCCGAAACUGCAUUUGAUACUGCGGUGCUUGAGGACUGGAGAGGAGACUGGAAUUCACGGUGUAGCAGUGAAAUGCGUAGAUAUCGUGAGGAAGACCAGUGGCGAAGGCGGGUCUCUGGACAGUUCCUGACACUGAGGCACGAAGGCCAGGGGAGCAAACGGG